rnacentral:rRNA from 1 species
UACGGGGGGGGCAAGCGUUGUCCGGAUUGACUGGGCGUAAAGCGCACGCAGGCGGCAUCGCGCGUGGGGUGUGAAAUCUGGCCGCUUAACGGCCAGGCGCCAUCCCAUACGGCGAGGCUGGAGCGAUGCAGAGGUCGGUGGAAUUGCCGGUGUAGUGGUGAAAUGCGUAGAGAUGUGGAGGAACACCGAUGGCGAAGGCAGCCCCCUGGGUCAAGAUUGACGCUCAUGCACGAAAGCGUGGGGAGCAAACAGG